GCCUGGGUGGUUCAGUUUGUUGAGCGUCUGACUUAGGCUCAGGUCAUGAUAUCGUGGUUUGUGGGUUCAAGCCCUGCAUCGGGCU
rnacentral:tRNA from 1 species